CCAUUGCCAAGGCUCAUGUUGCGAUCUUGUUCGGAUUGCACGAGUAAUUUGAGGCGCUCAAUUUUUCGACGCAUAAUUAGGAGCGGACUGGGAACUGAGGACCGCUGGCUGCGGAAUUGUUUCGGUGCACGAGCCACACGACUUUCUUCACUAAUUGUUAGCUGGAACGCUUCAAAGGAACUGCGGGAAAGAAAGUUCCUUGACAAACAGCCUCCUGCCACGAAGCCCGGACUCGAUCCUUUCCCUUGGAGUGUGGCAAACGAAUCGAUUCUGGGUUAUGCUCUGGGUGCAGCAAUUAGUUCGAAUUUCCUGGGUCUCAGCUCAGAUGCUGAAUUGGAGAUCAUUGGACUCCAGUCGGAGUGCUGCUGGAGCUUUCUAGUGGUCAGAUCGCGUGGCAGUCAGCAACCCACUGACUGCUUGGGGUAAUUGUGGAGUGAGUGGGAAUAGAAAUCGAGAUACGAUGCUCCAAGUAGUGGCUGUUCAGCUGGCUGCUGGCUGCUGGCCACAUCCCGAAGGAAAUGCUCUCACAGAAUCUGAGCAUUGAAGACCAACACGAGCCAUCGAGCGACAGUUCGCCUCCCAUUGUUGGUUAAUUUAUCAAAGAUGCAAAAAGAGCCAACUCACGCUUAAGUGGAAGGCUGCCUAAUGAGCGUGUUCAGUGGUCUUUUUUCGGUGUUUGGUGUUCAAUGCUCAAUGACCAAAGUCCGAUGCCCAGUGCCGAGUGUGGUCAGCAGCUGGAAAAAAGGAACACAUGUGGCUCAUGCCCCUGGCUAGUGAAAGGAUUCGACUUUGGACUCUGGGCUCUGGAUCCUGGACUCUCGAUUCUGGAUUCUGGAUUCUGGACGGGAACAUGACGGAGUAAACACACGCCGCACAUCCUCAUUAAUCUCGAGGGGGCGUAGACCGAAUGGGAUCGGAGUUCGGACUGCGGCCGGAGGAUCGAAGUUGCUCUGGCUCUAAUCCCGCCGCACACAACAUAUUGCAACUUUAUGUCGGGGAAACGCGAUUCGAAAUCCAUUUCGAUGGCUUGACUUGCGUUUUGUUUUUCCAGCGUCAAUGGCGAUUUAGUUUGGCCUGCUAGCCCCGGACUGGAAUCCAACGAAAAUAUAAUAAGUGGGCACGUGUUUCUGCCUGGUCCACAGGGCAUACAAACGAUUUGUUUUUCUACGGCCAACAGGCCCUUGGGCCUCGUCUGGGGGAACGCACACACCACAGCCAGGAACGCAGUUCGAGGAGUCGCAGGAUCCUUGUCCAGGCGCCAAUCGAGCACCUCUUAAGCCUUUACAGCUGCCCAACGGAAGUGAAGUGAAGUGAAGGAGUUGCUCAAAGUGGCCUCACGUUCGCCGAGGUCAAUGGGUGUGUUUUCGAAGUCCACAUUUAGGAAGUCUGUCUCUAGUUCCCCCGGACACCAGAUACAUACAUAGGAAAGGCUUGAACACAACUUUGAGCCCCUUUUUUACAGGCGCACACAAAUGUGUUUGGAUAAAGUUUUGGCCUAAGUGAGAGAAAAAAACUCAUUAUGAGUUGCAUAAGGCUCAUAAUUGAUGGGCAAAUGGGCCGGCGAGCUGGUGGAACUGAUGGCCAAGACGCACCGUAGUGCAGGGUCCACGCUCUGGAUUAGACCAAUUUUAAGGAGAAUUGCUCUCUGCACGGUUCACACAUAGCUGAUCUGCCCUGCCCUGCUCUGAAUUGCAGGACGUUAGACUCUGGGCCAAGAAUUUUGAGCCGUGGGCGUGUGCGGGCCAUGGAUUUCACACACCGAUCUCAGGAGGAUCCUGGAACAAUCCCUUGCAGCAUGACGAAAGGUAAAUUUGUAAACAAUUGUGCUAAUUAAGCCAGCCCAAUAAAAAUCGGCUCACGAAGGCUUGAGCGGCUCGAGCGACCUGAGAGCCCUGGGCGGAUGGCCGAGUGGCCUGAGAUCUCCCGGGGAGAUCCAGGCGAGCACUUGAACUAAAUCCGGUAGCUUAAACGAGUUAAAGGAACUUGAACGGAACUUAAUCCCAUAAAUUUGGGAAAAAUACAAUUUUAAUCAGGUUAAUUCGUGUGUAGCGCGACUGUUGCAUGGUUUCGGGAUCUGGGCCACGGGAUCAGGGGCCAGGUAGUCGGUCGAGCGAAAGGAUUAGGCCUCUGGAUCUCGGGGAUUUAGCGCAAACAGAGGUGAGUCCGUCCAGCACAGGCCCACCGCCCAUCGCCUUCCUGCGACAUUCUAAUUUAAUCUCAGAUUACGAGCGAACGAGGAGAGGAGAUCGCGGAUCGGGAACGGGAUCGGUAUCGGGAUCAGUCCACCAGAUUAGGCCACUCCGCUCGUAUAUUGCCAAAUAAUGGUCGAGUUCCAGGGGCCGCCACUUCGAUUGCAAAAGUUUCACGUAAAUCCGUAAGAUUAGAUGGCUAGAUCCCCAGAUUUUCAGAUUCCCUCCCGCGCCUAGCCCAAUUGUUAGGUCAAUUGCCAAAUCACUUGAGCGGGGAAUGGAAAUCUGGGCCAUCUCAUCAUGGAGGUAAUCCCAGUCGCAGCAGAUCUAGGUAGAUCCUUGAAAGCCACUGGUCAUGCCCACUAAAGCUAGCAGUGCCUCCGAUGAUCUCAUUCCCCUGAUCCCCACACAAGUCCAAAGUAGUAAGCUGAACUAGAUGCGUUGACUUUCGAACCCCUGGGAAUACUACAGCUACAAAUGCUACAUGCUACAAAACUUAAUUAUAAAUAAUGUUUAGA